CAGUCGCCGCGGUAAUACGAAGGGUGCAAGCGUUACUCGGAAUUACUGGGCGUAAAGCGUGCGUAGGUGGUGGUUUAAGUCCGUUGUGAAAGCCCUGGGCUCAACCUGGGAAUUGCAGUGGAUACUGGAUCACUAGAGUGUGGUAGAGGAUAGUGGAAUUUCCGGUGUAGCAGUGAAAUGCGUAGAGAUCGGAAGGAACAUCUGUGGCGAAGGCGACUAUCUGGGCCAACACUGACACUGAGGCACGAAAGCGUGGGGAGCAAACAGGAUUAGAUACCCGGGUAGUCCCUGUCUCUUAUAC
rnacentral:rRNA from 1 species